GUCUUUUUGAUAAAUAAUUUAAAGUCUAAUCUGCCCCCUGAAAUUAUUUUAAAGGGCUGCGGUAUUUAACCGUACAAAGGUAGCAUAAUAAUUAGGUUUUUGAUUGAAAUCUAGAAUGAAUGAUUGGACGAGAUAUAAGCUGUUUUAAAAUAAUUAAUUAAAACUUAAUUUUUUAGUCAAAAAGCUAAAAUUUUUUUAAAAGACGAGAAGACCCUAUAAAUCUUUAUAAUAAAAUUAUUUUUAUAGGUUAUUUUAUUUAAAUUAAUUAUUUUAAUAUUUAAUUAUUUUAUUGGGGUGAUACAAAAAUUUAAUUAACUUUUUUAAAUUUAUAACUUAAAUUAAAGAUUUAAAAAUAAUGAUCUAUUAAUAAUAAUUCAAAGAAUAAGAUACUUUAGGGAUAACAGCGUAAUUUUAAUUUUAAGUUCUUAUUAAAAUUAAAGAUUGCGACCUCGAUGUUGGAUUAAAAUUUAAUUUAAAUGCAAAGGUUUAAAAAUUAAGUCUGUUCGACUUUUGAAAUUUU
rnacentral:rRNA from 1 species